GAUGAACGCUGGCGGCGUGCUUAACACAUGCAAGUCGAACGGAAAGGCUCCUGCUUGCAGGGGUACUCGAGUGGCGAACGGGUGAGUAACACGUGGGUGAUCUGCCCUGCACUUCGGGAUAAGCCUGGGAAACUGGGUCUAAUACCGGAUAGGACGAUGGUUUGGAUGCCAUUGUGGAAAGUUUUUUCGGUGUGGGAUGAGCUCGCGGCCUAUCAGCUUGUUGGUGGGGUAAUGGCCUACCAAGGCGUCGACGGGUAGCCGGCCUGAGAGGGUGUACGGCCACAUUGGGACUGAGAUACGGCCCAGACUCCUACGGGAGGCAGCAGUGGGGAAUAUUGCACAAUGGGCGCAAGCCUGAUGCAGCGACGCCGCGUGGGGGGUGACGGCCUUCGGGUUGCAAACUCCUUUCGCUAGGGACGAAGCGCAAGUGACGGUACCUGGAGAAGAAGCACCGGCUAACUACGUG
rnacentral:rRNA from 1 species